ACUCAACAAAUCUUAUCUUUAGAAAGGAGUCACUUGUCCACAAACGUUGAGAAGCGUGUUAUUUUUGAUAAAUGAACAUCGAAAUAUUGCAAUAAUGCAACCACACCGUGAACCACAAACUUUUGGCUAACAGUGAACGUUAAAGUUUGACCGUUUGCCAAAAGUUGAGAGUUUUGAGAUUUUGAAAAUUCAAAAACAGCCGUUAUUUAAGCCGGAUGUGUUACUUAAACGCACUUAAUGAAACGUGCAUAAGAAGAUGACGGUUUGGCAGUUGGUUGGUGCAAUGACGAAAUCAUCACAACAGCAAUCAUAGCGAAACAUAGCGACGUUUAUUCAAACCUUUCCCCGUCUUUAAAACUGUAAAACCACCAACACCACCAGCACCUACUAAACCAGUAAUAUUUUCCCCCGUCAAAGACUCAAGAUACUGCAGUGAAUCCAAAAUAGUAGAUAUCCUUUCAAAACAUAGUCGCAAGAAACGCUCGGUCAAACUUUGGCCAUAUGAUUGCACAUAUCCAAGUAUUGUCAACCAUCAGGGCAGUUAUCAAUUCAUGUAUGAUAUUUACCAGUGCUGUAAGAAAUGUGACCUUCCAACGUACACCUUGUGCAUGAAAAAGUAUCAACGCUCUCCCCCAUGGAGAUGCCCCAGUGACGGAAUCCAUUGCAUUCUUGAAUGCGUAGCAAAAUAUGGGCCACAGAAACCUACCACGAUCAUAAAACCAAGUAUUUCCAAAAUUAAAGGAGGUCAUAAAGUCAUCGGCAUAAAGCCCCCCAAGAACAAGUGUGAAAAAGGGAAAACUUCCAAAUGGAAAAACCUGUUUACGUAGAUUAUGUAUCAAGUUGAAAGUUUAAACUAACUGUAAAAUAUCGAGCAUGCAUAAAAAAAGAAAAUAAAAGUCAAGUUUAAACUGA